AAGUUCCUCUGUUUUGUGUGUCGUGAAUCCAAGGACCACAAAUCCCAUAAUGUCAGCUUGAUCGAAGAAGCUGCCCAGAAUUAUCAGGGGCAGAUUCAAGAGCAGAUCCAAGUCUUGCAGCAAAAGGAGAAGGAGACAGUACAAGUGAAGGCACAAGGUGUACACGGGGUCGAUGUCUUCACGGUAAGAAAAACUCCAUCCCACGAUCUCUGGAAGCAGAAACAUCUCUGCCAAAGCUCCUGGAAUCCCCUAUUACACUGACCCCUCAGAAAAAGAUCCAGUGAUAAAGAAAGAGUGGCGCAGAUCGGAACAGAUCGCCAGAGGAACAGACUGGGACAGAGGGCUUGGCAUGGCGGGUUGGGCCAUGUCCUCUCCUCUGCGCCUCAGCACCUGACCCGCCAGGCGGCAUCACCUCCCGCGUCGGCCUCGCUAUUACAGCGGGCUGACUGCUCAGUCUCCACCUGCAGACAAGGUGGGGCACGGAAAACCCACGCUGGUCUUGGAAUCGCAAGUACAGGUUUUUAAGGCCGAGCUGCGCCCUCAACGGAUUCCCCAAUUAGAAAAUGAAGACAUUGGCCGGGCGCGGUGGCUCACGCCAGUAAUCACAGCACUCUGGGAGGCUGAGGAUCGCUUGAGCCCAGGAGUUUGAGACCAGCCUGGGCAACAUAGCGAGACUCUCCUCUUGAUUAA
rnacentral:sRNA from 1 species